GACGAACGCUGGCGGCGUGCUUAACACAUGCCAGUCGAACGGAAAGGCCCUGCUUUUGUGGGGUGCUCGAGUGGCGAACGGGUGAGUAACACGUGAGUAACCUGCCCUUGACUUUGGGAUAACUUCAGGAAACUGGGGCUAAUACCGGAUAGGAGCUCCUGCUGCAUGGUGGGGGUUGGAAAGUUUCGGCGGUUGGGGAUGGACUCGCGGCUUAUCAGCUUGUUGGUGGGGUAGUGGCUUACCAAGGCUUUGACGGGUAGCCGGCCUGAGGGGGUGACCGGCCACAUUGGGACUGAGAUACGGCCCAGGCCCCCACGGGAGGCAGCAGGGGGGAAUAUUGCAAAAGGGGGGGAAGCCUGAUGCAGCAACCCCGCGGGGGGGAUGGCGGCCUUCGGGUUGGAAACCGCUUUCCCCUGUGACGAAGCGUGAGUGACGGGAAUGGGUAAAGAAGCCCCGGCUAAAUACG
rnacentral:rRNA from 1 species